rnacentral:rRNA from 1 species
ACUCCUACGGGAGGCAGCAGUGGGGAAUAUUGCACAAUGGGGGAAACCCUGAUGCAGCCAUGCCGCGUGUGUGAAGAAGGCCUUCGGGUUGUAAAGCACUUUCAGUAGGGAGGAAGGUAGUGUAGUUAACACCUGCAUUAUUUGACGUUACCUACAGAAGAAGCACCGGCUAACUCCGUGCCAGCAGCCGCGGUAAUACGGAGGGUGCGAGCGUUAAUCGGAAUUACUGGGCGUAAAGCGCAUGCAGGCGGCCUGUUAAGUCAGAUGUGAAAGCCCGGGGCUUAACCUCGGAAUUGCAUUUGAAACUGGCAGGCUAGAGUCUUGUAGAGGGGGGUAGAAUUUCAGGUGUAGCGGUGAAAUGCGUAGAGAUCUGAAGGAAUACCAGUGGCGAAGGCGGCCCCCUGGACAAAGACUGACGCUCAGAUGCGAAAGGCUGGGGAGCAAACAGGAUUAGAUACCCUGGUAGGAUAGCG